AUUGAACGCUGGCGGCAGGCUUAACACAUGCAAGUCGAACGAGUGGCGGACGGGUGAGUAAUGUAUGGGGACUGCCCGAUAGAGGGGGAUAAAUACUGGAAACGGUGGCUAAUACCGCAUACUAUCGGAUAACCCAUAGGGGAUUAGCUAGUAGGUGGGGUAAAGGCUCACCUAGGGGACGAUCUCCAGCUGGUCUGAGAGGAUGAUCAUCCACUCUGGGACUGAGACACGGCCCAGACUCCUACGGAGGCAGCAGUGGGGAAUAUUGCACAAUGGGCGCAAGCCUGAUGCAGCCAUGCCGCGGGUAUGAAGAAGGCCUUAGGGUUGUAAAGUACUUUCAGCGGGGAGGCGUUACCCGCAGAAGAAGCACCGGCUAACUCCGUGCCAGCAGCCGCGGUAAUAC
rnacentral:rRNA from 1 species